rnacentral:rRNA from 1 species
UUUCCGUAGGUGAACCUGCGGAAGGAUCAUUAUUGAAAACAACGGUGAAGGUUGUAGCUGGCCUUUCGGGGUAUGUGCACGCCUGAGCCAUUUCAUCCACACACACCUGUGCACUAAUGUGGGGGCCCGGUAGGGCUCGCACGUCUUAUCAACUACAUGUCUGAUAGAAUGUAAACAUUUGAUGUCGCCACCUUGAAAAAGUGGUCGACGAAAAACUUAAUACAACUUUCAACAACGGAUCUCUUGGCUCUCGCAUCGAUGAAGAACGCAGCGAAAUGCGAUAAGUAAUGUGAAUUGCAGAUUUUCAGUGAAUCAUCGAAUCUUUGAACGCACCUUGCGCUCCUUGGUAUUCCGAGGAGCAUGCCUGUUUGAGUGUCAUUAAAUUAUCAACCGCGAAAGGCUUUUUUUGGUCUUUCGGGGCUUGGAGUUGGAGGCUUGCCGGCGUGAGUCGGCUCCUCUUAAAUGUAUCAGCGAAACCUUUUUCGGCUUUGGUGUGAUAAUCACGUUGCGCCGUCGCUUGAAGGCAUAAAGAGUUUCGCUUAUAAUGGUCUUCGGACAAAUAAAACCAUUGAAUUUGACCUCAAAUCAGGUAGGACUACCCG